rnacentral:rRNA from 1 species
AGGACGAACGCUGGCGGCGUGCUUAACACAUGCAAGUCGAACGGAAAGGCCCGCUUGCGGGUACUCGAGUGGCGAACGGGUGAGUAACACGUGGGCAACCUGCCCCUGGCUCUGGGAUAACUCUUCGAAAGGGGAGCUAAUACCGGAUGAUGACCUUCCUUCGCAUGUUGGUUGGUUUAAAGUUUUUCGGCUAGGGAUGAGCUCGCGGCCUAUCAGCUUGUUGGUUGGGGUAACGGCCCACCAAGGCGACGACGGGUA